rnacentral:rRNA from 1 species
AACGCGAAGAACCUUACCUGGGCUAGAAAAUGCAGGAAUCUGGGAGAAGUCUCGGAGUGCUCUUCGGAGAACCUGUAGUUAGGUGCUGCAUGGCUGUCGUCAGCUCGUGCCGUGAGGUGUUGGGUUAAGUCCCGCAACGAGCGCAACCCUUACUCAUAGUUGCUACCCGCAAGGGAGAACUCUAUGAGGACUGCUCCGGAUAACGGAGAGGAAGGUGGGGAUGAGGUCAAGUCAGCAUGGCCUUUAUGUCCAGGGCUACACACGUGUUACAAUGCGCGCCACAAAGCGUUGCAAACCCGCGAGGGGGAGCUAAUCGCAAAAAAGCGCGCUCAGUUCGGAUUGCAGUCUGCAACUCGACUGCAUGAAGCCGGAAUCGCUAGUAAUGGCGCAUCAGAACGGCGCCGUGAAUACGUUCCCGGGCCUUGUACACACCGGUACUA